rnacentral:rRNA from 1 species
GACGAACGCUGGCGGCGUGCUUAACACAUGCAAGUCGAACGGAAAGGCCCUGCUUUUGUGGGGUGCUCGAGUGGCGAACGGGUGAGUAACACGUGAGUAACCUGCCCUUGACUUUGGGAUAACUUCAGGAAACUGGGGCUAAUACCGGAUAGGAGCUCCUGCUGCAUGGUGGGGGUUGGAAAGUUUCGGCGGUUGGGGAUGGACUCGCGGCUUAUCAGCUUGUUGGUGGGGUAGUGGCUUACCAAGGCUUUGACGGGUAGCCGGCCUGAGAGGGUGACCGGCGACAUUGGGACUGAGGUACGGCCCAGACUGCUACGGGAGGCAGCGGUGGGGAGUAUUGCACAGUAGGCGGAAGCCUGAUGCAGCAACGCCGCGUGCGGGAUGACGGCCUUCGGGUUGUGAACCGCUUUCGCCUGUGACGAAGCGGGAGUGACGGUAAUGGGUAAAGAAGCACCGGCUAACUACGUG